rnacentral:rRNA from 1 species
UAGGGAAUCUUCGGCAAUGGACGAAAGUCUGACCGAGCAACGCUGCGUGAGUGAAGAAGGUUUUCGGAUCGUAAAACUCUGUUGUUAGAGAAGAACAAGGACGUUAGUAACUGAACGUCCCCUGACGGUAUCUAACCAGAAAGCCACGGCUAACUACGUGCCAGCAGCCGCGGUAAUACGUAGGUGGCAAGCGUUGUCCGGAUUUAUUGGGCGUAAAGCGAGCGCAGGCGGUUUCUUAAGUCUGAUGUGAAAGCCCCCGGCUCAACCGGGGAGGGUCAUUGGAAACUGGGAGACUUGAGUGCAGAAGAGGAGAGUGGAAUUCCAUGUGUAGCGGUGAAAUGCGUAGAUAUAUGGAGGAACACCAGUGGCGAAGGCGGCUCUCUGGUCUGUAACUGACGCUGAGGCUCGAAAGCGUGGGGAGCAAACAGG